rnacentral:misc_RNA from 1 species
GAUGAAGAACGUAGCGAAAUGCGAUAAGUAAUGUGAAUUGCAGAAUUCAGUGAAUCAUCGAAUCUUUGAACGCACAUUGCGCCCCCUGGUAUUCCGGGGGGCAUGCCUGUCCGAGCGUCAUUACAACCCUCAAGCUCAGCUUGGUGUUGGGCCCCGCCGCCCCGGCGGGCCCUAAAGUCAGUGGCGGUGCCGUCCGGCUCCGAGCGUAGUAAUUCUUCUCGCUCUGGAGGUCCGGUCGUGUGCUCGCCAGCAACCCCCAAUUUUUUUCGGGUUGACCUCGGAUCAGGUAGGGAUACCCGCUGAACUUAAGCAUAUAAUAAGCGGAGGA